GAUGAACGCUGGCGGCGUGCCUAAUACAUGCAAGUCGAGCGAACAGACGAGGAGCUUUCUCCUCUUAAGUUUGCGGCGGACGGGUGAGUAACACGUGGAUAACCUACCUAUAAGACUGGGAUAAAUUCGGGAAACCGGAGCUAAUACCGGAUAAUAUAUUGAACCGCAUGGUUCAAUAAUGAAAGACGGUUUUGCUGUCACUUAUAGAUGGAUCCGCGCCGCAUUAGCUAGUUGGUAAGGUAACGGCUUACCAAGGCGACGAUGCGUAGCCGACCUGAGAGGGUGAUCGGCCACACUGGAACUGAGACACGGUCCAGACUCCUACGGGAGGCAGCAGUAGGGAAUCUUCCGCAAUGGGCGAAAGCCUGACGGAGCAACGCCGCGUGAGUGAUGAAGGUCUUCGGAUCGUAAAACUCUGUUAUUAGGGAAGAACAAAUGUGUAAGUAACUAUGCACGUCUUGACGGUACCUAAUCAGAAAGCCACGGCUAACUACGUG
rnacentral:rRNA from 1 species